rnacentral:lncRNA from 1 species
UUUGCCCAAGUCCCUUGCUUGAAGGACUAUCGCACUUUCAGUGGUACUGAGACUGUCCCUACCACUACCCUUUAUCAAGCUGGUUUACAAGAGUUCUGGCUUUCCCAACCGGACAAAACUUCUAGGGAAUCUAAUUUCUUUCGAACCCCCUAUUAUAUUUAUAUGCGGUCCUAACCUUGCUACUCUUACUUCCACUAGCAAGAGAACUUCUGCUCGUAACAUACCCCUAGGGAUAUAAUCUUACUUCUUGAAGCGAGCUACUUUAACUGCCAAAGGAGCGGGGCAACUCGAGUUAGACGAGAGGCAGGGAUGUAAUUUCAAAGAGGCUCGACCGGACCCAAGAACCGGACAGAAGACAGGCCCCACUGUGAUACCUCGUGCAAGUUCUAGUUAAUGACCUGAAAGAAGUCACUAGCUUCUUGCUAUCGAGCGUGCCUUAGCCUUAGUUUACAAGGAAGCUUUGUCGUACUUAGAAAAGGAUGGUUCUAAAGUAGGUGUCAAGCUGAGAAAAGGCGGAGAAUUUUUGAAUUCAAGAAAAGAAAGGCAUUGCCCAAUACAUUUAUUCUAUACAAUAGGAAUUCCAAGCCGUAAAAGGCAA